rnacentral:piRNA from 1 species
UAGACUUAGUUGGGAGAAAGGUGAGG